AGUGAACGCUGGCGGUAGGCCUAACACAUGCAAGUCGAACGGCAGCACAGUAAGAGCUUGCUCUUACGGGUGGCGAGUAGCGGACGGGUGAGGAAUACAUCGGAAUCUACUUUUUCGUGGGGAUAACGUAGGGAAACUUACGCUAAUACCGCAUACGACCUACGGGUGAAAGCAGGGGAUCUUCGGACCUUGCGCGAUUGAAUGAGCCGAUGUCGGAUUAGCUAGUUGGCGGGGUAAAGGCCCACCAAGGCGACGAUCCGUAGCUGGUCUGAGAGGAUGAUCAGCCACACUGGAACUGAGACACGGGCCAGACUCCUACGGGAGGCAGCAGUGGGGAAUAUUGGACAAUGGGCGCAAGCCUGAUCCAGCCAUACCGCGUGGGUGAAGAAGGCCUUCGGGUUGUAAAGCCCUUUUGUUGGGAAAGAAAAGCAGCAGGUUAAUACCCCGCUGUUCUGACGGUACCCAAAGAAUAAGCACCGGCUAACUUCGUG
rnacentral:rRNA from 1 species